CACUAUCGUUAACUGAAUACAUAGGUUAACGAGGCGAACCGGGGGAACUGAAACAUCUAAGUACCCCGAGGAAAAGAAAUCAACCGAGAUUCCCCCAGUAGCGGCGAGCGAACGGGGAGCAGCCCAGAGUCUGAAUCAGCUUGUGUGUUAGUGGAACGGUCUGGAAAGUCCGACGGUACAGGGUGAUAGUCCCGUACACCAAAAUGCACAGGUUGUGAACUCGAAGAGUAGGGCGGGACACGUGGUAUCCUGUCUGAAUAUGGGGGGACCAUCCUCCAAGGCUAAAUACUCCUGACUGACCGAUAGUGAACCAGUACCGUGAGGGAAAGGCGAAAAGAACCCCGGCGAGGGGAGUGAAAAAGAACCUGAAACCGUGUACGUACAAGCAGUGGGAGCACCUUCGGGUGUGACUGCGUACCUUUUGUAUAAUGGGUCAGCGACUUAUAUUCUGUAGCAAGGUUAACCGUAUAGGGGAGCCGCAGGGAAACCGAGUCUUAACUGGGCGUUAAGUUGCAGGGUAUAGACCCGAAACCCGGUGAUCUAGCCAUGGGCAGGUUGAAGGUUGGGUAACACUAACUGGAGGACCGAACCGACUAAUGUUGAAAAAUUAGCGGAUGACUUGUGGCUGGGGGUGAAAGGCCAAUCAAACCGGGAGAUAGCUGGUUCUCCCCGAAAGCUAUUUAGGUAGCGCCUCGUGAACUCAUCUUCGGGGGUAGAGCACUGUUUCGGCUAGGGGGUCAUCCCGACUUACCAACCCGAUGCAAACUACGAAUACCGAAGAAUGUUAUCACGGGAGACACACGGCGGGUGCUAACGUCCGUCGUGAAGAGGGAAACAACCCAGACCGCCAGCUAAGGUCCCAAAGUCAUGGUUAAGUGGGAAACGAUGUGGGAAGGCACAGACAGCCAGGAUGUUGGCUUAGAAGCAGCCAUCAUUUAAAGAAAGCGUAAUAGCUCACUGGUCGAGUCGGCCUGCGCGGAAGAUGUAACGGGGCUAAACCAUGCACCGAAGCUGCGGCAGCGACACUAUGUGUUGUUGGGUAGGGGAGCGUUCUGUAAGCCUGCGAAGGUGACCUGUGAGGGUUGCUGGAGGUAUCAGAAGUGCGAAUGCUGACAUAAGUAACGAUAAAGCGGGUGAAAAGCCCGCUCGCCGGAAGACCAAGGGUUCCUGUCCAACGUUAAUCGGGGCAGGGUGAGUCGACCCCUAAGGCGAGGCCGAAAGGCGUAGUCGAUGGGAAACAGGUUAAUAUUCCUGUACUUGGUGUUACUGCGAAGGGGGGACGGAGAAGGCUAUGUUAGCCGGGCGACGGUUGUCCCGGUUUAAGCAUGUAGGCUGGUUGUCCAGGCAAAUCCGGAUAAUCAAGGCUGAGGUGUGAUGACGAGGCACUACGGUGCUGAAGUAACAAAUGCCCUGCUUCCAGGAAAAGCCUCUAAGCAUCAGGUAACAUCAAAUCGUACCCCAAACCGACACAGGUGGUCAGGUAGAGAAUACCAAGGCGCUUGAGAGAACUCGGGUGAAGGAACUAGGCAAAAUGGUGCCGUAACUUCGGGAGAAGGCACGCUGGUGUGUAGGUGAAGUCCCUGCGGAUGGAGCUGAGACCAGUCGAAGAUACCAGCUGGCUGCAACUGUUUAUUAAAAACACAGCACUGUGCAAACACGAAAGUGGACGUAUACGGUGUGACGCCUGCCCGGUGCCGGAAGGUUAAUUGAUGGGGUUAUCCGUAAGGAGAAGCUCUUGAUCGAAGCCCCGGUAAACGGCGGCCGUAACUAUAACGGUCCUAAGGUAGCGAAAUUCCUUGUCGGGUAAGUUCCGACCUGCACGAAUGGCGUAAUGAUGGCCAGGCUGUCUCCACCCGAGACUCAGUGAAAUUGAACUCGCUGUGAAGAUGCAGUGUACCCGCGGCAAGACGGAAAGACCCCGUGAACCUUUACUAUAGCUUGACACUGAACAUUGAGCCUUGAUGUGUAGGAUAGGUGGGAGGCUUUGAAGCGUGGACGCCAGUCUGCGUGGAGCCAACCUUGAAAUACCACCCUUUAAUGUUUGAUGUUCUAACGUUGGCCCCUUACCGGGGUUGCGGACAGUGUCUGGUGGGUAGUUUGACUGGGGCGGUCUCCUCCCAAAGCGUAACGGAGGAGCACGAAGGUUAGCUAAUCCUGGUCGGACAUCAGGAGGUUAGUGCAAUGGCAUAAGCUAGCUUGACUGCGAGCGUGACGGCGCGAGCAGGUGCGAAAGCAGGUCAUAGUGAUCCGGUGGUUCUGAAUGGAAGGGCCAUCGCUCAACGGAUAAAAGGUACUCCGGGGAUAACAGGCUGAUACCGCCCAAGAGUUCAUAUCGACGGCGGUGUUUGGCACCUCGAUGUCGGCUCAUCACAUCCUGGGGCUGAAGUAGGUCCCAAGGGUAUGGCUGUUCGCCAUUUAAAGUGGUACGCGAGCUGGGUUUAGAACGUCGUGAGACAGUUCGGUCCCUAUCUGCCGUGGGCGCUGGAGAAUUGAGGGGGGCUGCUCCUAGUACGAGAGGACCGGAGUGGACGCAUCACUGGUGUUCGGGUUGUCAUGCCAAUGGCACUGCCCGGUAGCUAAAUGCGGAAGAGAUAAGUGCUGAAAGCAUCUAAGCACGAAACUUGCCCCGAGAUGAGUUCUCCCUGAGACUUUAAGUCUCCUGAAGGAACGUUAAAGACGAUGACGUUGAUAGGCCGGGUGUGUAAGCGCAGCGAUGCGUUGAGCUAACCGGUACUAAUGAACCGUGAGGCUUAACCUUACAACGCCGAAG
rnacentral:rRNA from 1 species